AGCCUUCUGUAUCCCUGCUGAGAUUUCAUCAUACACCAGAUCACAAGGGCUGAUGAGACUUCCAAGAUAAGUCAAGCG
rnacentral:pre_miRNA from 1 species